rnacentral:tRNA from 1 species
GCCUCUGUAACUCGGUUGGUUAGAGCGCUGCACCGGAAUCGCAGGGCCGCAGGUUGGAUUCCUGCCAGGGACC